GCGCGCUCUCUCGCACGAUCUGCUCCCGGACUCCUUCAGCGCGCUGCCUGCCUGCCCAGGGCCUUCCCGGAGAGCAGGUGACGGCGGCCUCCGGGCAUGGAGCUCGCGCUGACGAAAGGUUCUGGAAGCCGCCGUAAAAAGUAAUCAAGAAACGGGUGACAGGACUUUUCGAACAAGGUCUCACCAUGCUGCCCAAGCUGGUCUGAAAACUCUUGUCCUCAGGCAGUCCUCCCACCUCGGCCUCCCAAAGAUCUGAGAUUACAGGCAUGAGCCACCACACCUGGCCUUGGUUUUAAUUCCUGUCACAGUAUAUUAGUUUUCGCUGUUGUGUAUUGAUUGAUUGAGACAGGGUCUCGCUCUGUUGCCCAGGCUGGAGUGCAGGGGCAUGAUCCCAGCUCACUGCAACCUCCACCUCUUGGAUUCAAGUGAUUCUCCCGUCUCAGCCUCCCGAGUAACAGGAACCACAGGUGUGUGCCAGCACGCCUGGCUAAUUUUUUUUUUUUUUUUCUUGAGGUGGAGUUUCACUGUUGUUGCCCAGGUUGGAGUGCAGUGGCACAAUCUCAGCUCACUGCAACCUCUGCCUCCUGGGUUCAAGUGAUUCUCCUGCUUCAGCCUCACGAGUUGUUGGGAUUACAGGCGCCCGCCACCACGCCCAGGUAAUUUUUGUUUAGUAGAGACGGGGUUUCACCAUGUUGGCCUGGCUGGUCUCGAACUCCUGACCUCAGGUGAUCCACCCACCUCGGCCUCCCAAAGUUGUGGGAUUGCAGGCGUGAGCCACUGCGCCUGGCCUAAUUUUUCAAUUUUUUGGUGGAGAUAGGGUUUCACCAUGUUGGCCAGGCUGGAGUUUUGCCUGUUCUAGAAGCUUGUAUCAGUCAUACAACACCCCUUUGAGGAACCGUUUGAGGUGUGGCACGAUACAGCAAGUCAGCUGCCAAAGAGGGGCUUAGCCACAGGAAGUGCGUGCCCAGAACGUUCUAUGAGGCUGGCUGCCCUGUUUGACAACUGAGGCCCGCAUCUUCCCCGGAAUCACCGACGUGUGGCUCUGAGCCCUGUCCCAGGGAUUUUCUCCAUCAGAGAAGAGGAGCACUUUGAGCUUUGAGAGGAGCAGCCCUCUGCAAGUGAAGUGGAAAAAAAGGAAGCAGGCGAGGAGGCCCAUCCAGACCCUCCCCCAAGACCCUUGCUGAAAUGGCUGGGAUGCGGCGUGCAGAAGCUCUCCUUUCCUUCACAGCCCCUGGCUUUCCAAGAGUCCCUGCCCACCCAGAUGCCCGCUGGCAGAUGCAGCCUCAUCUCAAGGACACUGCUUGCUGGAUAAAUCCCUCACCACCCUAGAGACAGCCCACGGUCCUGAGACAAGGAUGCGGGCCAGGCUUGUUGCACGUAAGCGCCUCCCGCAGAAACCAGUGAGGCCGGAGUUCCAGAGGAAAUGAUGUAGGGACAGAGGCAGAGGGCCUCCAGGAGGCACCAGCCCCAGAGUCUUCCCUAGAAUCAGACUUUAAGCACAAGCAGGGAGGGAAAGCACUUGAGCAGUGCCCGUCCCUGCAUACCUGGCCUCUGCUGGAACCCAUGCAGGGACAGGACACUUCUUUAUCAGCAAUCCUGUUCCUCUCCUGGGCAGCUUCAACCUGAACAUCCUCCUUCACCUUGAGCUAAAAUGGGUUUCUUGUCACCCUUGCCCAUCAAACCUGGCCUUGCCCUCAGGAACCACACAGGACAAGCCUAAUACUUCCUUCUUGUGGCAACACUUUAGCAAUUGAGACCUGGCUGUCAGGUCCUCCAAAUAAACAUUUGUGACUGUGAUGUUGACUUGCCGCUUCUGGGGACCUCUUCUCAUUUGAUCGGAGAAAGUUUUUCAGGGUUAAACCUACUUCUUUCCCCCAAGAAACUCUUCUUGUCAGGCUCACGCCUAUAAUCCUGGCACUUUGGGAGGCCAAGGCAGGAGGAUUGUUUGAGACCAGCCUGGGCAACGUAGGUAGACUAUGUUGCUACAAAAAGAAAAAGAAAAAAUGGCCAGGUGUAGUAGUCCCAGCUGCUUGGAGGCUGAGGUAGGAGGUUUGCUUGAGCCCAGGAGGUCGAGGCUGCAGUGAGCUAUGAUUGUGCCACUGCACUCUAGCCUGGGAGACAGAAUGAGGCCCUGUCUCAAAAAAAAAAAAAAAAAAAAAAAGAUGAUGAAACUCCUCACGUAUUUCUCCCCGGAGCAUGUGCUCCCAGGCUCAAAUCCACAGCAGCCUCGUUACACACACGUCAUCCCCUGGCCCCGAGAUAUUGCACCGCCUUCCCCUUUCUAGCUCUGAACCCCCACAUGAAGCAGCCAGACGUAGGAAAACCCAGAUUCAUAAAGCGCUGAUAUGGGUGGUCCUUUACCAAAGGAUUUUCUGCUUUACAAAGUAAUUCACCAAAUGAUUUCCCUAGAGUAUGGGCAGAGAUUUGCAAACUACAGCUUGGAACCAAGCUGCCUUUUUUUUAUAAUAAAGUUUUAUCAGGAUGCAUCCACAUCCAUUCAUCUCUGUGGUGCCAGCUGCUCUAGCUACACAGGCAGAGUGGAAGAGUUGCAGAUGGCCAACAAAACCUAAACUGUUUACCGCCUGGCCCCUUAUAGAAGCAGCUGGCUGACGCUGGCUCCAGGGCAUCAGAAAUGGGACCAUUGGAAAGGAGUAGCCGGGCUACAUGGUUUUUCUUCUGCCCCACGUCUUGUUCUCAAACAUGCUUCCUCCCCAGUCAUCUGAGGAAUGUCAGUCUGAGACAGUCAGGAGCAGGUGUGCCUAGGGAUGCAUGGUUUCUGAAAAUGGGGUGGGGUCUUUUAGGCUGAGGGCUCUGGCAGCUUCUGUCUGAAGGCUGAGCUGAGCUGAGCAGAGCUGGGCAUGGUGGCUCACGCCUGUAGUCCCGGCUACUCAGGAGGCCAAGGUGGGAGAAUCACUUGAGCCUGGGAAGUUCAGAGGAGCCUGGGCAACACAGUGAGACCUCAUCUUUAUUUUUUGAAAUUUUUUGUUUUUAUUAUUUUUUUAAUUUUUAGGAGCAGAGGGUUAAUAGGCAAAAGAAAGAGAGAGAGGAAAACAGCUCUCUCCAGUGAGAGAGAGGGUACUUCUGAAAGGAAAACGCCACCGGCAGCAGAUGCACUGGAUUUUAUAGUCAGGCUUGAGGAGGUGGUGUCUGAUUUACAUAGGGCUCACAGAUUGGUUCAGUCAGGUAUGAUGUUUACAUAGCGCUGGGGUGUGGGGAAGGCUGACCUCCCCACUCUAAUCUUAUUAUGCAAAUGAACUUUCCCCUUGGCCAGCACCAUCUUGUCUGCUCCUUACUGUGCACGUGGCUGGCAGAGAAGGGAAGAUGGAGCCGCCAUUUUGAACAUGAUUGGCACAACUGCCUGCAUCUAUGUCUGCAGCUCGAUUUUACACGCUGCUCUUUGUUAGAAAGGAAAAUGAUUUGGGGCUGCUUUUCAGUAAAAGGAAAACCUUACUGAGGACUUCUGUAUCCUCACUAUCUAAGUAAUUUCCUCUUAACUCCUGUAUCAUUCCCCACUCUGGAGUGGUAACCCUAACUGCUCUUCGGGGUUGUUUGAUGAUGACUCUUUCUGGCUACUUCAUACUUAAAAGGGGUGUUGUGUGGGGAACAGAAGCUAAGGGCUCCUCCUGGGGUCGAGCUAAGGGUCCUCGGAAAAAAGGCAUGUCCGUGCAUGGUUCUGUCUGCAGCACCAUUUAGAGUUUGAUUACUGUCAGCCAUUCUGAUGGGUUGUAACACUGGUUUGCCUCCACCAGAUGUUGAGAUAGUUUCCAGAUUCCAGAGAAACCAGG
rnacentral:lncRNA from 1 species